rnacentral:lncRNA from 1 species
GGGGAAGGCAUUGGAAAAUUAAAUCAGUCCACAUUUAUUGAGCACUUGCUGUAUGUUCAUCUCAGAGUUAGGAAAUCAAUCCCUGCCCUCAAGAAGCUUAUGGCCUAAUGGGGCAGACAGUAUACAAAUAUGUAGAAAGCUCUUGUCCUAGUGUGCUGGGGGAGAGGGCUACUUGCUGUUGUUCUGGGUACGUGACUUUGGAGCACUGAUUGUUCUAGCUUCAGGGGGAGACCCAGAGAUAAACUCAAGCACACAGAAGUGUGUGUGUGUGUGUGUGUGUGUGUGUGUGUAAAACCCUGGCACUGAGAAGGUCUCCCACUGGGGAGCAGUCUGUCUGGGGUCCCACCAUUGUCAUCAGGGAAGCAGAUGAAUAUACGUGACUCCUCAGCCCUGGUUCCCAGUUGUUCCCUGUCCCAGCCUCGUCGUGGAAUCUUAGAAUUUAGGGCUGGGAGGUACCGUAGGGAUUCCGACAACUCCCUGUUGUUGCGCCCAGAAAAGCGAAGCCGUUUGCCUGAAAUCUUGUCCCAAGAGCAGGGCCGGGUCUCCUCCUCCCCCUUAACUCUUUCUCUAGCAAGCCGAGCGAAAGCACCUGCUGCAGGGAGGCAGGGAGCCGGCUGACGUCGAGUGCCGAGACGGAGCCUCCAGGGUGGGGCUCCAGCCAUCCGGGAUUCCACUGGAAACUGGAGCCAGGAAUUGGAAAGAUGAGGAGGGGAAGGAGAGGGAAAAGAAUAGGGAAAAUGUAGGAGAAAGAGUGGAUUGUCAUUCUCCAACGCCCUUGCCCCAAGGCCUCUCUGGGCACCUCCCUUUGCAAAAUAUAAAUAAAAGUAAAUUGCAAAAAUAGGCCAGUGCCAUCUCCCUCAGAGGCUGCCUCAGCAAGAACCAAGGGAGGCUGGUCCGAGCCUCAACCUGUGGGAAUAGGCUAAAAAGGAGGCCUGAGAUGGGUAGAGAAGACCCUGAUCCUCCCCUCCCCCCAAAAAAGCAGACCCCCCACCCCAGCCUCAGUUUCCCCAUCUGUAAAAUAGGUGAGUAGGAUGUGGGGGCGUCUUCCAAGUGUAGUCACACUUCUCUGAUUCAGCCCCACGGCAAACUUUGAUUUCUGGUUUUCGUCCCCAGCAUGAAGUGAGUGCUCAAUAAGGUGAGCGAUGGCUUUUAUUAAACACCCACUGUUGGCCGCCGCUGCGUGUCAGGUGAUGGGGACACAGACCAAAGUAAAACAAAUCCUGCCCUCCAGCGGCUUACACUGGGGAGGGGGAGAGGACGGUGCAGCCACAGGAAGUAAACACAAAGAACACACCAGGCCAGCGUGAUGUCAGCCGAGCCCUUCCUUAAAGAAGCCCCGCUCGCUCCCUCCCCUUCUCCGGCCCCGGGAUGGGGAGCCCUGCCCUCCCCACCGGUCCUGGGGGUCUCCCUGGAGACGGAGGGGGGCCAGCCCCGGGAAGGCCGAGGAGCUGAGCCGGAGCGGGGCCUCGGAGGGCUGGGGAGGACUAGGAGAUGGAAAGAGUCGGCAGAAGGAGCCCGUUCCCUUCUCCCCAGAGAAUGUGGAGGAGGGAGGAGGGGACAAUACAGCCUGGUCCUGUGAUGAGAUGGAAGAGAUAGGAAAUCUAGCCCGACGGUUGCAUCAGCUGAAGGGCGUGUUCCUCACCUCAGAUGACAGGAGGAGCAGGGAGUGGGAGCCUGGUUCCGAGGGGCGCCGGGAGCCCGAGGAGGCCCCCGGGUUUGGGCCCCGGGGCCGAGCGGGGACGUGUGUGGGCACAGGAGGGAGCGUGCUCCGGAGCCUUCCCUUGCCCACUUUGCACCAUCUGUGUUUUAUGAGCACAUCCGGGAGACCGGGUAGACAGUGGGGCAGCCCAGGCUGGAAGGCAGCUCCCCUGCCCGCUUCCCCAGCUCCCCGAGGAUGGGCUGCACCAAGAGACCCCGUGAGGGGGGACAGUGAAAAGAAGCUGCCCGACUGGCUCUGGGGUCGCAGGGCAUCCUCAGGGGUCACCAGAGCAGAUCCCUAGGUCUAAAUGGGGGGAGGGCCAGCAGCCCCCAUUCUCUUCCUCCUCAGCUGGCACCCGAGCGGCGCAGGGGGCUGGGGGACAAAGAGGACCGGGCCUGGUGGGCCCCUUCCAUUCUCGGUCCGGUCCUGCUAGAUAGGAGGUGGUGCAGGGCCCGCUCAUCGGGGCUUGUUGCAAAGAGGAGGCCGCAGGGAGCAGUGGGGAGAGCCGGGACGUCCUUGCAGCCGCUCCCUGACCUCAGUUUCCCUCCCUGUUAAUUUGGGGGGCUGGAAGUAAGGCAGGCUCCUCGGGAGGGAGGGAGCGAGCUUCCGCGCACUCGGAGGGGACGCAUGCCGGCCCGGCGCCCCCGCCCCAGCUCCCCCAGUUGGAAGCGCUGCUCCGGCCCCGCGCACGCCCCCGCCCCCGGGCUGCGCCCGAUGCCUCUCGCCGGGUAAAUACGGCAAAGGUUUGUUUUAAGGAGAAAGAGGCUUCCUUGCGUGUUUACUCGGCACACCCUGCUCAACCGCCCAGGGAUUCUUUUCUUCUGCGAACUAAAAAAAAGCAGCAACAACCAAAAAGACAAAGAAAGAGGAAAUUCUGAGUAAGGAAAUUAAAAAAGAAAAAAACAAACCAAACAAAAACCCCUUUAUGCCCAAAUAACCCCGAGCCUUCGGGGAGGGCCGGAAACCGGGGAGGGAGGACGGGCGAGCGGAGCGCCUGCAGCGCGGAACUGGGGGCAGCGUGCGGGACCGGCUCACACCCCCGUGUCACCGCGGGAGCCCGCCCCGCCGCCCCGCUCAUUCAUCGCCUCCCAGCACCGCGCGCCCCGCUCGGCUCCGGCGUCCCCGGCACGGCCGGCAGUCCGGCUUCGGGGCGCGCCGCGCUCCAGGUGCGGGGCUCCCGCCGCCUCCGCGGCCUCGCCCUGACACCCGCGCCCCGGCCCCGGAGCCCGGGGGGGAAAGUUUGCCGCCGGGCGCCGCCGGGCGCGGGAGCCCGAGCUCUGCUCGGGCCGGGGGAGCGGGGAGCGGGAGGGAACGGGCCGUGCGGCCCCGGGGGGCUCAGCCGGGAGAUGCUCGCCUCGGGCGGCGCGGGCGUGGGCACACACACGGACGGGGCGCUGUGGGCGGGGGGCACCGGGGUCCCGAGUGUCCCGCGGGCCGCGCGCGCCUGUGCUCGCGUGGGAACGGCCCCGGCGGCCUCCCCUCCGCCGGGACCCCGGGCUGGGCUUUCUCGGCGCCUCCCGCCCCUGCGCGCUGGCCGGGCUCCGGAGUCCCCGCCUCCCUUCUCCCGGAGUCAGAGGUUUGGGGAAUCACGGAGCCAAUAAGGCCAGCCGGCUGCCAGCGGGCCCUGAUAGGGCGGUCCGGGCUGGGAGAGUGGGAGAGUGUGCGUGUGUGUGUGUGCAUGUGCGUGUGCGCGCGCGUCUGUUGGUGGUGCGCGGGGUGCGUUCGCCCCGAGAGCGCCGAGGCGCAUUCACUUUCAGCAUCUCGGGGAGGCGGCGAUCCCGGAGCGAGCGCAGCGCCCGGGCGGGCAGCGGGGAGAGCGCGCAGAGAGAGCCCCAGCGAGCCGGGCCCGGGCCGGAGCCAGCCAGCCUCUGAUCUUUCACCUGCCCCUGGGCCGGCGCUGGGCAAGGCCGGGAGGAGGCGGCGCCAAGGCCGGCCCUGCCAAUCAUCUCCUCUCCUGGCGGCGCCCCCGGCGCCCCCCUCCCGCCCUCCCCCCCUCCUCCUCCUCCUCCCCGGCUCCACUCCCUCCUGCCAAACUGUUAGCCCGAGUGUUACCGUCAGGCGCAAUGACAUCAGGGUUUUAAAACAACUUGUUAUUCGGGGAGUAAUCAGUUGCAAUUAGGCAUUAAUUAAGUAUUAUGAAAGUUGAUUAUUUAAGUGAAUUCGGCUUUCGACUCUCCGACUAUGAGUUUGGGACCAAAACGAGGAGA